GACGGAGGAUGCAAGCGUUAUCCGGAAUGAUUGGGCGUAAAGCGUCCGCAGGUGGCAGUUCAAGUCUGCUGUCAAAGACCGGGGCUUAACUUCGGAAAGGCAGUGGAAACUGAACAGCUAGAGUAUGGUAGGGGCAGAGGGAAUUCCUGGUGUAGCGGUGAAAUGCGCAGAUAUCAGGAAGAACACCAAUGGCGAAAGCAGCUCUCUGGGACGGUACUGACGCUGAGACGCGAAAGCGUGGGUAGCAAACAGG
rnacentral:rRNA from 1 species